AUUGAACGCUGGCGGCAGGCUUAACACAUGCAAGUCGAGCGAGCGGCGGACGGGAGAGUAAUGUCUGGGAAACUGCCUGAUGGAGGGGGAUAACUUCUGGAAACGGUAGCUAAUACCGCAUACUCUAAGAUGUGCACAGAUGGUAUUAGCUAGUUGGUGGGGUAAUGGCUCACCUAGGCGACGAUCCCUAGCUGGUCUGAGAGGAGGACCAGUCAAAAUGGAACUGAGACACGGUCCAGAUUCCUACGGGAGGCAGCAGUGGGGAAUAUUGCACAAUGGGCGCAAGCCGGAUGCAGCCAUGCCGCGUGUGUGAAGAAGGCCUUCGGGUUGUAAAGCACUUUCAGCGAGGAGGCGUUACUCGCAGAAGAAGCACCGGCUAACUCCGUGCCAGCCGCCGCGGUAAUAC
rnacentral:rRNA from 1 species